rnacentral:tRNA from 1 species
UGUAGCUCAGUGGUAGAGCACUUGCCUAGCAUGUGUGAGGAGCUGGGUUCAAUCCCUAGCA